GUUUUAAUAGUUUAAUAUAAAACAAUGGUCUUGUAAACCAUAAAUAAAUAAUUUUUUAAAUCA
rnacentral:tRNA from 1 species